AGCGAACGCUGGCGGCGUGCUUAACACAUGCAAGUCGAGUGCGCGCCUGUAGCAAUACAGGUGGCGCACGGCGCACGGGUGCGUAACACGUGGGUAAUCUGCCCUUCGAUGGGGAAGUAACCUCGCGAAAGACGAGGCUAAUUCCGCAUAACAAUUCCGAUGGUUCCGAUCAAUGGACUCAAAGACCGUAAGGCGUCGGAGGAGGAGCCCGCGCACGAUUAGCAGUUGGUGAGGUAAC
rnacentral:rRNA from 1 species